UAUUUGAUAAAUAAAUAAAGAGUAGGAUUGAAUAUUAGUUACAGUAAUAAUUUUUUACAACUAUUAAGAUUGUUGCGAAUUAUUGUAAUUGGUAUUAUUACAACAACACAAAUUCUUGCAUAAAUUAUAAAUUACAAUAAUUUAAUUUUUAGAAUGAAAUUUUUAUAGUAAUCUUCACUACAACAAAAACGGUCUGUAGCGACACUUUUAAAUAUAGGUACAUGUCAAAAAAAUGCUGCUAGCUAAAAUUACCGACACUUUUAAAAAGUGUUGCUAUAUGUGGGGUCGCUAGGUAUAUAGCGACAGUUAAAGAGUGUCGCUAUAACCUAAAAGAGUGCUGCUAAUUUACCAACACUUAUUUAAGUAUUUAGCAACCGCCGAAACUCUAUCUCGUUGGCUGCGGUGGCGGAGAAGGACGACAGUAAAAGCUCUUCGUUUAGAAUUUCAGUGGAUUGAGUGAAGAGAGAAGAAAAGAAGGUAAUUGAUUUUUUUUUUUUUUUUCUUUUCUGUUUGUAAUCGGGCCAAAUGGACUGGGUGUAGUGGGUUGAGUAGAGUAAUCUUUUAUUUUUGGUUGGAUUGGGCUUUAUAUUUAGGCAUUAGUAGAUGUGUUUUUAAGUUUUAGUAUAAAUAGGACACUUACUCAAAAGUGUCCCAAAUAUGUAUUUCUAUAACUUAAUUCUGUUGUAGUAUACUUGCUAAAGAUAUGAAUGAAACCGUAUUUGUAAAAUAGCUAGGUUGAGUGAGAUCAAACAGCUCGAGCAGUGUGAACCAAUUUUUGUACUUUACAAAAGCAAAAACGUGGCUCGAGUAGUGUGAACCAAUUUUUGUACUUUACAAAAGCAAAAACCUGGCCGCGCUGCAUCAACAAAGGAAGCGGUUUUGUAGAUAAUACUGGCGCAGGCCUAAGUCGUGUUAAGAGAAAAGAAGUAUAAGAACGAAAAGAGAAAUACACGAAAAAUGUAAUUCUUCGACAAAAUUAAAAAUAUUAUUAAUCAACUCUAAAAGCUCAUUGCAUUAACUGAAAGCCAUGCAUAUGUAGAGUCAAUACCUGAAUUCUACUAUAAUUAAAGAUAAUAUAUUUUAAUAUAUCUCUAAACCUAAACAACCAGAAAUAACCAAAUAACUAGACUCAAAAUAGAAAAAAUACAAAACUUUUCGAAAAUAAUCUAAAAACACAAAAAUAGAGGCUUAAACAAUUGAAUUUGAAUCCCAAACUCAGGUGGAAUGACUUUAUGGUUCAACGCGUAGGAUCUUGGAAGGUAUUUUUUGAAUUGGAAUUGCAUAGUUAAAACAGACAUUCGAGCGAAAAGUUAUGGCCUUUUAAUUUGUACCAAUUGUAAAAGUCGCCAAACUCUAUAAAUUUUUCGGACCAAUUUGGUUGUGUCACAUUUUUUUAGAAACUCUAACUCUAAAUGAGCCACAUCAUAUACUUAUAUAUAUAGUAGUCAAAGUCAGAGAUUUACUAUCCGGUUUAGAAUGGAAGGUUGGGGACGGAUUGAUAAUGCAUAUAAAAGGUUACUAAGUAGGUCCAAUUUUUGACUAGUAUCACCGACAGUCCCUAAAGCAAGUGGCAAAGGGCUUGAUGGUUGGUAUCCGAGACCAAGUUCGAAUCUUUGUUGAUUCACAUUUCCAGCUAAGUUUAUUUCUAAAUGAAAUAAACGAAGUGGGUAGCGUGCUACCUAUCUCUCAAAAAAAAAAUUUUUUUUUUUGACUAGCAUCGUUCCCUAUCUCACUUUCUAAUUUGAAUUAUUUUUUUCUUUGUGUUCAAAUUAAAAUUGGCUUGCUGUUAUGCUUGGCAUGGUGUCCUCUUAAUCUAAGGGUCCUUUUGGUUUCGAAAUAAAGAAUAUUGGAAAAAAAUAUAUAUAUUCAUGUAAUAGCUUACUAUUUUAGAAUAGUCAUGAAUAAAACUAAAUGUGUGUGUGUUUUUUUUAUAAUGUUGUUAUUCUUCGUAAUAAUUUAAAUUGCACGCGUUUGAUUAAUUUUAUGGAAUAGUAGAGAAAAAUGAAAAAAAAAAAUGGUUGAAUUUGAUAUAAAAAAUAGUUUAAUAAAAAUAUUGUAUUAUAAUAUUAAUAAAAAUAAUUUAUUGUAAAAUAUGAUUUAGUAAAAAUAAGUUAUAAUAAUAUUUAAAUAUAAUUUAUUAUAAUAAUUUAAUGUAAUAUUUAAAUACAAAUAAUAUGUAUUAAAAAUUUUAUAAUAUUAGAAAUGAUUUAUUAUAAUAUACAACAUAUUACAUCUACAUAAUCACUUUAAUUCAAUUUAUAAUAUUAAUAAAUCUUGAAAUUAAAUCUUAGAAUGAUAUUAUUCCACGAAAAUGGUGGAAUAGUUUAUUCCAACUAUUCCGGGAUGACCGAGAAUAACUAGGUUUGAUCAGGAUAUUUUAUUUCGGCCAAAAAUGCCCAUUUGACAGAGCAACAGGGAUAACUUUCGUUAUCCCUACUUUAUUCUCGAAUCGUGUUGAUUUAGUAAGUUAUUUGGCUUGUUAUCGGCAUGUAUUGCCUGAUUCUUCUUAUAUUCCUUUUUUCCUAUUGCAGGAGAAAUUAUGCCUCGACUUCGUCUGUUCUGUACACGUGGACCUGAUCUGCCAUUCAUCCCACUCUACUUUUACUCAGCCACCAAAGCAUAAUUAAUAAGCAUUUUUGUUUAAUUUGAAAAUUAUUUUCCUAAUAGAGGUGGAGACAAUUUCUUUAAUCUUUAAGAAAAAUAAGGGGGGAAAAAUUGAAAGCAAAGAUUUUAGAGAUGGUGAGUUAUAGGGGUGACAUGGUGGAUCAAGCUCAAGUAUUAUUUUCCCGAAUUAUGAUCUUGUUUGGAGGUAAUAAUUUGUUUGGUACGACAAUAUUCUUCUGUGAUUGGAAAGUAUAAGCUUGAUUUUUACUGUAUAAAAGAUCCGGACAUUCAUACUUUACCUACGAUAUAGUUUAUUUUAUUCUAAUAAAAAAUAACUCAAGUUAUUUUCAACUAAGUUUAUUUCUAAAUGAAAUAAACAAAGCAGGUAGCGUGCUACGUAUCUCUCUCUCUCAAAAAAAAAAAAAAAACAAAACUCAAGUUAAGAUUGAAUAUACUAUAUUAUGCUAGAGAUUCAAUCUCACCACUUACUUAACAAAUAGAACAAAUACUAUAUAAACUAUUUAAAUAUUGCAAUAGCUUAGCCUCCCAAAUAAACAGUACAUACUUAUACAUACACUACACAUGUCCAAACAAGCUUUUAUUAUGCAUGAAACAGCUGUUGCCAUGUAGAAGUUUUUGUCUUGUUGGAAACUAUAAAUUAAGUAGCUUUCGUUAAUUUGAUUGUGUUUCUUGUGGGUGGGUGGGAGAGAGAGAGCGUAAAAAUUCUCUUUUGCAAGUUUAAUUUGUUUUUUUUUUUUUUUUUUAUUCCAGAUGCUCCAAGAAUUUUUCUAUUUGGGAUAAUNAAAAAAAAAAAAAAAAAAAAAAAAAAAAAAAAAAAAAAAAAAAAAAAAAACUUAAUUAUCAAUUGCUGUAUACAGUGGUAUAUAGUUUAUGAUCCAUAGUUUCGAUCCUAUUGUUUCCGGAAAAAAAAUUUAGCUAAGUUACAGAAAAUAUUCUUAUAAAUACAUAAUUUUCUAUUUUUUCUUUCUAACUUCCAAAAAUAUAUAUUUUAUCCUCUCAAUAUCCGAAGUUGUAGCAUUUAGCCCUGCUCCGUCAGGGUUUCAUUACUAUUCCGUCUAUUUUUUAUAAUUUAUAUUAAAAAUAUUUUUUAAAAUAACAGAAAUAUAUUAAAAUACUGUAUUUUCAAUUAGAAGAAGUUAAAGCAAUGGUCAUUUCGCUCUCUUCAUUAACGUCAUACCUCUCUGAAAACAUUUCUGGAAUUUUAAAAUGACAAAAUAUAUGUUUUUGAAAUCAUAAAGGAAAAAUGAAAAUAUAAGUAUUUACAGUGAAAUUUUCUAUAAUUUAGCCAAAAUAUUUUUAAAACUAAGAUUUAAGGGAGUCUCACUGAGUGACGUCCAACUAAUUAGGUUGAGAAGAAGAACACAAAAAAAUUGGUAUAUAUACAGCAGAAAAUUUGGAUAGUGAAAUUCAAGUUCAACCUCUUGUUUAAACUUUUUUUUUGGAUAUAUCAACUUUAAGAUAUUCAAUAUUCCACAUUGCUACAAAUAUAGCACUUUGAUUUCUCGAAUUUAGUUAUCUGGAAAGUGGAAACUUUUUUAAAGGAAUUUUAUUUAACUUCACCUUUUCCUUUGUUUGAUCAAAUGUCAAAAAGAUGGGGCAUAAAAUGGCCCGGUUGGAAUGAAGUAUAUGUUGAAAGCAAUAGAUGAGAAGGAGAUUGCGGAUCAUCUCUUCUCUGGCUGCGCCUACACCACAGCUUUACUGAAAGGUUUGCUACCUAAUAAACUAAUCUUUAACAAUCGCCCUUCCGCGAAGGAGAUUUGGGAAAAAAGUAGUGUCAAAAAGGGUGCACAGGGGGAUAUAGAAAUGUUGACCAUCGUUGCAACGUGGUGGGUAUUAUGGUUGGAGCGCAACAAAAGAAUUUUUCAGCAAUCAAGACGGGUGCUGGGGAGUCCGUUUUUGGAGAUCAGAGUGCUUAGAGACUUGUGGAAUCGUUCAUGUAGUUGAUAUUAGAUGUUUUUGUUUUUCUUUUUGGUUUUCUUUUCUUUUCUUCUUUUGCUUUUCUCUUUUGUCUUUCUUCUGUUUUUCUCUUGUACCUUGAGUUUGUCUUUUUUCUUUUCCUCUUUCUUUCCUCUCAAGGCCCUGGAUGUCUCAAUCUGUAGCUAAAUUCACUCCCUAGUUGAAUGAAGCGGUAGCAUGCUACCUUUUCUCAAAAAAAAAACAUUCACUGCAAAAAAAUUUCAAUACAAAAACGCUUUUAAGAUGAUGCUUCGGAAAAGUGUCCCCAAGCGUCAACCCUACAAUAUAGCAAAUACCGACGCUUCAAAAAGCAUCAUUUUAUAAACCCUCUGUCGUAUCAAACUAAUUUAUUAAAUAAUAAAUUUUAUUAUUAUUUUUAAGUCGACGUUUUAAAGUAUCAGGAUUUCAAAUAUAUUUUACCUUACGCCAGACUAUAUUAGGACGCUUUUAAAUAUCAUUAAAUAUAAAAAAUAGUGUCCUUAAAUGUUAAACUCAAUGGUCCUUACAAAAAAAAGUUACUAAUUAAGGAACUCAAAAAUGAGAGACUUCGAAUUACCAAAAUGUCACAAUCCCCAAUCCUGGGAGAAAUUAAACCUUUUUUAUGAUUUGUUUGUGGUUAUUCCACAAUCAUCUCUUUUCAACUUUAUCUCCAUUUUUUUUUAAUAGGUUACAUCCAAUCUCAAGCACUAAUGCGUGAAGAACCAAGGGGUACGGAACUAUAAAUAGUUUUAAGUGCCGGAAAUUAAUAGUAAUCCAAACUUAAUUUAAAAUUUACACUACAACAAAAACGGUCUAUAGCGACACUUUUAAAUAUAGGUACAUGUCAAAAAAGUGCUGCUAGCUAAAAUUACCGACACUUUUAAAUAGUGUUGCUAUAUGUGGGGUCGCUAGGUAUAUAGUGACAGUUAAAGAGUGUCGCUAUAACCUAAAAGAGUGCUGCUAAUUUACCAACACUUAUUUAAACAUUUAGCAACCGCCGAAACUCUAUCUCGUUGGCUGCGGUGGUGGAGGAGGAGGACGACAGUAAAGGCUCUUCGUCUAGAAUUUCAGUGGAUUGAGUGAAGAGAGAAGAAAAGAUGGUAAUUGAUUUUUCUUUUUCUUUUUUUUCUUUUCUAUUUGUAAUCAGGCCAAAUGGACUAAGUGUGGUUGGUUGAGUAGAGUAAUCUUUUAUUUUUGGUUGGAUUGGGCUUUAUAUUUAGACAUUAGUAGAUGUGUUUUUAAGUUUUAGCAUAAAAGAGACACUUACUCAAAAGUGUCCUAAACAUGUGUCCCUAUAACCUAAUUCUGUUGUAGUGUUAGUUAAACAUAGAAUUUAUUCAAAUUAUAUGUUGAUUCUAUUUAAAAGUUUAUAUAAUUAAAAUAGAAUUUAUAGUUAUUCAAAGUAAAAGUUGGAUUUGUCACU
rnacentral:lncRNA from 1 species